rnacentral:rRNA from 1 species
GAUGAACGCUGACAGAAUGCUUAACACAUGCAAGUCGACUCGAGUCUUCGGACUUGGGUGGCGCACGGGUGAGUAACGCGUAAAGAACUUGCCUCUUAGACCGGGACAACAUCUGGAAACGGAUGCUAAUACCGGAUAUUAUGGUUUUUUCGCAUGGAGGAAUCAUGAAAGCUAGAUGCGCUAAGAGAGAGCUUUGCGUCCCAUUAGCUAGUUGGUGAGGUAACGGCCCACCAAGGCAAUGAUGGGUAGCCGGCCUGAGAGGGUGAACGGCCACAAGGGGACUGAGACACGGCCCUUACUCCUACGGGAGGCAGCAGUGGGGAAUAUUGGACAAUGGACCACAAGUCUGAUCCAGCAAUUCUGUGUGCACGAUGACGUUUUUCGGAAUGUAAAGUGCUUUCAGUCGGGAAGAAGUCAGUGACGGUACCGACAGAAGAAGCGACGGCUAAAUACGUGCCAGCAGCCGCGGUAAUACGUAUGUCGCAAGCGUUAUCCGGAUUUAUUGGGCGUAAAGCGCGUCUAGGCGGCAAGGAAAGUCUGAUGUGAAAAUGCGGAGCUCAACUCCGUAUGGCGUUGGAAACUGCCUUACUAUAGUACUGGAGAGGUAGGCGGAACUACUAGUGUAGAGGUGAUAUUUGUAUAUAUUUGUAGGAAUGCCGAUGGGGAAUCCAGCCUACUGGACAGAUACUGACGCUUAUGCGCGAAAGCGUGGGGUAGCAACAGG